UUCCCCUCCCCCGACCUGUGAUUCCUAAGGGACGUUGCUCUAUUGGGCUAUAGGUUAGGGAUCCUGCCAGGACCCUCGAAUCAGGCAGUCUCCACCAAACAACUGAACAGAAAGUAGAGGAGACAAGAGUCAGAGUUGAGGACUCUUGGGGACUUACGAGAUGGGCCUGACUCCUAAAAGCCCGGCUGUGGACACAGGCUGAGAGCUGUUGAGAGCUUGUCGCCUGGCAACAUGACACCAGCUCAUAACAGGAGUUGGCGGCUCUUCAUUUUCUCAGACUGCAGGAAGGUAUGAGGAAGCCAUCUUGGAUUUACUGAGAGAAGCUGUCACUCUCCACCGUGGUUGAACGUGAAGGAGAAGAGCAUCUUGUGUCACUGAAGAUAGUUGGGUUUGGAAGGGCAGGAAUAGGGCAAAUGGCUCUUUUGUCUACAACAGGGACUUGUAAUGUGACCUUUUGUACUUGGCAAUUACAGAAAAUAACUUUAUCCAGAAUGAAAAGGGGGGUGGUGGUUCUCCAAGAUUGAAAAUGGAAAACCAGCAGAUCUGAGAAAGAGAGAUUCCUUGGAGAAACAGAAAUGACAAUCAAAGUCCUAAAAAUGGAGAACUGCUGAGCCACUUUUGACAUAGUGUUUUCAGGGGCAGCAGGAGCCUUGGGCUGUGGCUUUGAGAGGGAACUGAAGGCAAGGAGGCCCUGUAAACAUCAGCCUGAAAGGAGGACUGUGGUUGAGGACCGGUUCUCCAUCUUUGCUUCCAAGCCUAGAUAUCUAGGCUCUCUCAUGACAUACUCACCAAACGCUUCCUUGUAUCUGUAGCAGGAGACAAGUCCAAGUAACCUCAACCUUGGAGAUGAGAUGACCUGUGAAGACUGAACAAAGCAUAUGGUGUGUUUUAAAACACCUCUAGGCACGUGAAUCCUCAUGGAGGGAAAGGGAGUCAGAGCUUAUAGGCGGAUGAACUGUUAGGCUCAACAGCCUCUGGAGACUAGAUGGUAACCUCAGAGUCACUGUGUAGGGCCUGAAAGUGAGAGCUAACUGCUGCAAACUUGGGAGCUCCUCUAGGCUAACUCCGUCUCAGAGAAUGAGAUCCUCCAUCCACAAUGUCCUGGGAAGAAUCGGCAUCUCCAUAUAGUACGGGUUCUCAAUAGUGACACCAUGUGGCAGUGAGAGGAAAAGCAGCCUUGACUGAAGUCUCCAGUAUUCUCUCUAACGUAAAAGUUGGAUCGAUCCCUUCCUUUCAACUACAUCAGCUACGUGGUAUUUGAUAAUUCAUGAGGAAAACAUAACCUUGAGAACUGAGAUGGCUGAUAGUAAGGUGGACGGGAUCUUACGUUGUUUACUAGAAAAUAAAAGAUGCGAUCAUACCGUCCUCCCUCACUCGUGAAAGAGUUCAUAGGUUUGUUGUAGGGACCAAAUGAAAUAACUGAUGCAGAAGUUUCUUGAAAAGAACAAAAUAAAAUAAUAACAAUGGCCAUAAAGUUAUCAUAGGUAGUACAUGUUACAAUUAUUAUAGGCUGGCAAUUUGAUGUCAGACAAAUUAACUGCCCUAGGCAACUGUUGUCCUUGUCUCACUUUGUGCUUUUUAAAUUUCCAUAUCUGGAGGACUCUCAUUAUGUGGAAUGUGUGCCUGCAAAAGAUAUGUGCAAGUCCUAACCCCCAAUACUUGUGAAUGUGACUUUAUUUGGAAAUAGGAUCUUGGCAGCUAUAAUCAAGUGAAGGUGAGGUCAUUAGAGUGGGCCCUAGUCCAAUAUGACUACUGUCGUUAUGAGAAGAGGAGAGGAGACACAGACAAAAACACACAGGGGAAUGCUGUGUGAUGAUGGGAGUUAUGCUGCUGCAAGCAGAGGAAUGUGGCAGCUACCAGGAGAUAGAAGAGACAAGGAAAGAUCUUCCCCUAGAGGAGUCAGAGGGAGCACAGCUCCGCCAACAACUUGAUUUCAGACUUCCGGCCUCCAGAAGUGUGGGAGAAUAAAUUUCUGUUGCUUUAAGCCACCAAGUUUGUGGUGUUUUGUUAAAGCAGCCCUAGAAAAUUAAUACAAGGACUAAUCAAUUAAAAAUGGAGAAUUUGCUUGUCACUCAGAGAGAACGGUGUAAAGAAAAUACAGACAGGGUACUGAUAAAUGUAAAAAAUAAAGACUUUGACCUGUAGCUUGAAGUUAACAAAUGAGUUUAAUCAAGACUGGAAUCUCUUUGGAGAAGGUACAAAUGGUAGCUUCUAGGAUAGUUAAAGGAGCUCAAUAGAUGAGAUUCCUUCCAGGCCUUUGAGGGGAAUGGAGAUGGGACAUUGCUCAAUUUCUGUGUUCCUCAAGACACCCUACUCUUCCCAUCUUCCCCUGGCUCCUUUUUUCCUCCUCUCCUCUUCUCUCUCUUCCCUCUUGACCAGUAACCUCGGCAAAACUUUUUCUUUCUUUCCAGUAUCUCUAAUAGAGUACUGAAGUGAGAAAGCUAGUUAAAAAGUCUUGCUCGCUGAAAGAUGGCCAACAACUUCCUAGAAAGCUGUCCUGGGACCCUGCUCACCUUGGGAACCGGCUUUUCCCCUGAAGUGUAAACAAAGUCCCGAGACUCAAGGGAUAGCCUGGAACUUCAACUACGAAGCUGAGUCCCGUGUUGUUUCUCAAAGUUAGCUGAUGAAUAUACUAGAGAGUUAGUGUCUUUCCCUGAGGAAGCACCUAGUUCCGAGCGUGGACGCAUUGAACAGAAAGGGAGUUGAGUCACAGGGGCGUCUGUGCCCAGCUUGUUCUUCUCAGGAAGGAGAUUUGAACCACGUCAAUGAAGGAAACAUGGAACCUCGUGGAACAACACAUAAACCUCUCACCCUGAAACACUCGUCCUCCUCACAAAGCUGCUACUCGGAAGUGAGAGGGGAAUCUCUGAGGGAGGGGAAAGCUGAGACACCCAGUCCUGAGGCCUGAGAUGGAAACACCAGCAAAGGAAUCUUUGGAAUUAGUUUCCUCGCACCACAAAGCCAGUGUAACUUGGACUUUUUGUUUUCAUUCCUCGAAAAUGGUGACUUUUGAAGAGUCUGAGCAAUAAGAAAUGAGAGGAGGAAGAACUUAGUGGUGACUAACAGGUUAUUCAACUCCUCUGUCUUAACAACCAAAAUAAAAUUAUAAUAAUGCCUGAA